CCUACGGGUGGCUGCAGUGGGGAAUAUUGCACAAUGGGGGGAACCCUGAACCAGCAACGCCGCGUGAGUGAAGAAGUAUUUCGGUUUGUAAAGCUCUAUCAGCAGGGAAGAAAAUGACGGUACCUGACUAAUAAGCCCCAGCUAACUACGUGCCAGCAGCCGCGGUAAUACGUAGGGGGCAAGCGUUAACCGGAUUUACUGGGUGUAAAGGGAGCGUAGACGGUGUAGCAAGUCUGAUGUGAAAGGUCAGGACCCAACCCCGGGACUGCAUUGGAAACUGUUAAUCUAGAGUAUAGGAGAGGUAAGCGGAAUGCCUGGUGGAGCGGUGAAAUGCGUAGAGAUUAGGAGGAAUACCAGUGGCGAAGGCGACUUACUGGACUGUAACUGACGUUGAGGCGCGAAAGCGUGGGGAGCAAACAGGAUUAGAUACCCCAGUAGUC
rnacentral:rRNA from 1 species